UAACAUACUUAUCAGUGACUCAUUGUAAGAAGUAAAGUGUUGUAUUUAUUGUAAAUAUUAAAAGCUAGUCAGAAUUGGAUUAUAUAGAUACUAAUUGCAGACACAAACAUUCAUUCUUUUGUAGUGGCUGAGAGACUCUGCACCAUAAUCAGCAGCUCUUUCUUUCCAUGUGUGUCUUCACAUUGUUUUAAGAAGUCUAUGUAAAACUGUCCUUGCCACCAGCGGACCCUGUUUACUGUAAACUGAGCAACAGCGUCUUCUGGCCUGCAAGCCCGAGUUUCUGAUACCUGGAAAAGACUAGAAUAGAAUAGACAUCUUUAUUGGCAGAUAAAAGAGUCUGGAUGAAGCCGAGAGCACUUCAUAAACAGGAAGCGUGACUGCAGUCUCAUCUUUGAGCCACGUCUCUGUAAGGCAUAUUAAAUUGCUUCGUUUAAAGUCACUUUCGACAGACAUAAAAUCUGAUCAGAUGUUCCAUUUAUUUAAUAGUAUGAGACUGAGAAAAUCAGCAUCUUUUCACAUUUUUGAAGUUGGUAACUGUGGAGUCUAGGGAAGAUUUGAAAUUCCUAAAUGAAAACAAAUCAAACCUGUGAAAUACAACACACAUUGUUAUAUGUAUAUCCUUUUUAUGUUUGCAUUCACCGUGUCAUAUUUAAAUGAAAAACAUACGUUAAAUGACAUUUAUAACUGAAUGAAUUGUUUUUCAUUGUGAUAAGAAUUUUCCAUGCCACACCAAAAUCAAAACACAGCGCAGAAAACAAGGAUUUGUGUUGCAUAAUUUCACUGUUGUCCAGCUUAAACCUGCUUAGACAAAAUGCAAAGCGCUGUCAUUAGUUUUCAUGAAGAGGUGCAGGGGAGCUUAAAACAAUCAACCGUCCAAUCACAGUCUGGGGGCGGAGCUGACUGUACAUUUAGUGAUUGACUGACUGAAUUCUUGGUUUAAUGUGAAAGCCUGUCUGUCAUGGCUGCCAUCAGCUUGUGUCUACGACGAUGAUGAUAUGACAGUAGGUUGCUUUUCAUUCGGGCUUGAACAUCUCCAUCUCCAAAUAUACUGUACUGUCCUCUGCUGGACAACACUGAAAUGAUGCAAUGCGCCUCUUCACUUGUUGAAAAAACAAUUGUCAUUGAACGUGUUUUUCAUUUAAUUAUGGCACAGUAAAUGCAUUCAUAAAAAGGGAAUGCAAAUAAAAAGUUAUUUUACUUUA